AAAAAAGAAAGAUGUACAUACUCAGAUCAUUAAUAUGGAAUGGCUCUGUGGAGCAAUCAGGUUCAAAAAAAUUUAAACAUUUAUUUUACUUUUGGGAGACCAUAGAGAAGUGAUAAAAGCAGAGAGGGGCAGCCUAAAAGACUGUGUCUUUACUUAGAAAACAGUAGAGCUCAUCGGCUUGUGGAUCCUGAGCUGGGAAAAAAGUUUUCUCUCAAUGGGAAAAGAAGUUUUCUUGUCCCACUUCUCAUCACAGUGAGAUCUCCUCUCUAGCAUCCCUAACGUGGGGCCAUCUCACCUCUCCCUGAACUCUUCCACAGGCUCAAGUUUGUACAUUCCAACUUGUUGUUUGGGCCUUGUUGGACAUAACUGAAGUCUGGAUGGCAGGGUGAAAAUUGGAUAAACAGCCACACUGACUCAGGGGAGAUUUUUUUUUAAUGCAAACAUCUGUUUCUUGAAUUUGGCCAUGGUAAGACCUAAGGGAAGGGGGAAUACCAGUUGACGAAAUAAGAUCAAGAAGAUACUGCCUCAUUUUUUCUUCUGUUUCAGGGGUAUAAAUCCUGCCUUCUCUCAGCCUUACAGAGGAAGAAAACCCUUUCCAAGUUUCCUCUGAUACUGGGUUUAUGCCCAAUUAUAGUUUAGGAGAGGACAGGAUGGACUACUGACAUUAGAGAAGACUUUGAAAAGGAAGUUUGAAUUAAUGCAGGCUGUAAGGUGCUGAGAAGCUCCAAGCAGGCAGAACCUAGGCAUGAAGAAACUGAAGCAUGGAGGAAAAACUUAGCAACUAGCCCAACGUCACACAGGCAAGCCAGCCUUGACAAUGUGCUGAUGGCAACCU
ensembl:lncRNA PROX1-AS1 PROX1 antisense RNA 1